UACGGAGGGGGCUAGCGUUGUUCGGAAUUACUGGGCGUAAAGCGCGCGUAGGCGGACCUGCAAGUCGGGGGUGAAAGCCCGAGGCUCAACCUCGGAACUGCCUUCGAUACUGCGGGUCUCGAGUCCGGGAGAGGUGAGUGGAAUUCCUAGUGUAGAGGUGAAAUUCGUAGAUAUUAGGAAGAACACCUGAGGCGAAGGCGGGCUACUGGGCCGAUACUGACGCUGAUGCGCGAAAGCCAGGGGAGCGA
rnacentral:rRNA from 1 species